UCUGGUUGUUAGCUAGCUCUCUACAACUCACAUGGUUAUCCACUGAAGCUAAGCAGGGCUGCGCCUGAUCAGUACCUGGAUUGGGGACCACAUGGGAAACUAGGAUACUGCAGGAA
rnacentral:rRNA from 1 species